AUCAAUUUCUCCAAUUCGUCGCUCUCCUCGCCUGCGCACCGCAGGCGGCGGCGGAAGCGGAACUGCUUGUCUGCUUCUGCGAGUGCGAGUGCGAGUGCGAGUGCAGCCUGCAAUUUGGGGGGAAUCGCAGCGCCGUCACCGCAGGAGCGGGAGCUAGGAUGGAGAAGAAUAAGUACAUCGGAGGGGGAUAUCUUCUUUCAGAAGAGGAAGCGAUUUGAGGAGGACGAGUGGACAACUAUGUUAUUGUAUCUUCUGACAAGAGAGUACAACAUGUGAAAAGUGAUAUAGUUGUUAAGGAUGUGAAACUGUGAAAGAAAGUUUGGGUUUGCUCAGAGGCUCUAGGAGGAAGUCAAUUGAUAGAUGAAGCAAAAGAAAUGGCAAGGAAGAAGGAUCUAGAGCUAGAAGCAGGUACAUCUAUUUCAGUUUGCUUUGCUCUCUACUUCUAAUGAUUUCUUAUUGUCCGUGUUAGAUGUUUAGAAAUUAAGGGUGGCAGUGGGUCUCAGAGUAUGCAACCUGUGGAAAUGAUGAACAUCAUUGAGCAAACAAGGGUAAACUUGUAAAUGAGUACAGUUAAACAACCCCAGCAUAAGCAUCCCUGCGACUCAGAUCAAGUUGACCUUGGUACUGAAAUGUCACAGAGGAGCUUAUUGCAGACAAUGUAGAUGAUGAAAUUCACCUUGAGGAAGUAAAUGAUAGUACUUUGAAUGAGAGCAGCUUCCCCUGGUAAGCAAGUAAGAAACCAAGGGGGGAGGGUCACCAGGGGUGGGCCCAAAGUUAAAAAGGAAAGGAAAAAACAGAAUAUAACUCAUAAUAUACCAUGAACAGUCUACUUGCUACGAUAACAUUAUGAACAUGCCAAGCAUUUGGGGAUCUAGAGAAAGUGUAAAGAGAAAGAACAACAGUAGGUAGGGGGUUAGAAUUUCCAUUUUGUCCACAAUGUACUACACAAUAUCUCUUCUUUGUUGCCUCCAAUUUGGGCCUACAUGGCUACUCCCCACCAAACUCAUGCUCUCUUAUAUUACAAGACCCAUCAUGUCCCGAAUUCAAAUUAUCAUUCUUUUCCACUCUUGCUGUUUCCUCUGUAUUCUUAGUUUCUUACUCUGAACCUGUGGCUGUCUUUCCAUGGCUUCCAGCACUGCCAUGACAAUUUCUUGGAGAACUGACAGGAGAAACUUGAUCACUGGUUAGCAGGGAACCAUAGUACAUGAGUUCUCUUCAACUCUGCUUAAAAUGUGAAUGGCAAGAUUUGCUUGGCAUUGAGAUGGUGAGUUUUUGUGAUUUUUUUUAAUCAUUAAAGAAGACAGUAUAUUGAGUGUAACUUAGUAGUUGUUUAUGGAGCAGCUUAGUAAAAUGGAAAUAGAAAAUUCCUUACUGAGUUAGUCCAGAUAUGUAAUAAUACGCUGCAUCCGUAGGGAGUAAUUUUAGUAUUGUUAGAAGUGAAGAUGAGCAAAGCCUGGAAGUUUGUUCAGAUGGACUUUUCUUUUAAAAUUCUGCUGUAGAGCCUAAGAUUGAUUAUAGAUUGGCUUUUAAGUAGGAGACAUUUUACACCGUCUAAUAGCAUUUAACCAUUAGGAUCCUUGUAUGUAGCCUGAAUAGGAUUUUGAUGCGUCCUGUCUGGAAAUAUCAAUUUUCAUUUUUAGUAGUUACUUCCUCCGUUUCAUAUUAUAAGACUUUCUAGCAUUGCCCACAUUCAUAUAUAUGUUAAUGAAUCUAGACAUAUGUGUGCCUAGAUUCAUUAGCAUCUAUAUGAACGUGGACAAUGCUAGAAAAUCUUAUAACCUGAAACGGAGGUAGUAGAUCUUUGGAAAGAACCCUCUUAGAUCAUGCUUCUUCACUAAAUUGACACUAUAACUCAACUGCAGUUGAAUCCACAUUUUAAAUAUGAACUUUCCCAAAACACAAUUGUUUUGGGAAAGUUUUUUAUUUGAUUUUCAGUUUAUGUCAGCCUGUCUCAGGGACCAGUAAUAUUUGAUCAAUGGCAGGCACAACUGAGAAGGCUUAAAUAAUGUGUUUGUGUAAAAAGUUAUAUUAAUCGGUUUGAAGGAAAGUAUAAUGAAGUAAAACAAAAUUUGUUAAGACAAAUUGAUGUUUUAGACAAACAUUGUGAUGUUUUAGUUUUGUGUGUAUCAGUCAGGAACAGAGAGGUUCAUGUUGAGAAAUGUUUCGCACAGCUCUCAGAGAAGAGAGAAAGAAAGGGACAAAAUGAUCCAAAGUGAAGGUUUCAUUGAGGCCGGUAAUACAACAUAUUUACAAAUAGAUGUACGUGGGUAGGAUGGAAAGGGGCUGGUCUGAAACUUACGAACCUAAUUAAUUUGCGACUUUGGGGCCAAGAGGGCUUAUUUCAGUACAUCCUUGAAGCUCCCAAAGUUCAGAAAAUACCAUUUCCGUAUGAACUAAAUAGCCACUUCAGAUACCAUGUUUCUCUGGUUAGUAACCAGACAUUUGUAUUCUCUUAAACUAUAAUCUAGUUAGGAGAAGUUUGCAGGGCAAUGAGCAUUGUCAGUAUUGUGGGAAUGUUGAAAUAUUCAACCAUCUAUUUUCACAGGCCCUCUAGCAAGUUCGUCUGUUCAAUUUCAUUUGGCAUCCCUAACUUCCCAGCAAAUGCUCAUGACCUGGGCUGGAAAGUUUUUAAAUCAGAAAGAGAAGAGUUUGCAGUGGUUGGGGUGGCAGCUGUAUUGCUGUAAUGUGUCUCUUUGAAAUGCAGCCUAGCCUGUAGUGGUAUAAAAAAGGCUCCUGUUUUUCUCAGUAGUCAGUACAAAACUGUCUGAUCUCACCUCAGCAAUUUUCAUGUUUGUCAAUGACUUGAUUUUUGGGCAAUUAUGCAGAAUGCUUUGUCAGUGCUAGCACUAGCAGGAUGCUGCUGGUAGAGGUUUUCAGUGGUGAACUGGUACACAUGGAUGGAGAAUUGGCAGUGGCUCUAAACAAUGUAAAUUAUUUCAUAAUUGGCAGUGGCUUCAGAGGUUUGGGCAAUAAUAUAGCUUCUUCUGUUUCAUAAUGCAGGUUCUGUCCUGGGCUGUGGGCCUGUGUCCAAAUCUUAUUACUGCUGCAUUCUCCUGUUUUUGCAUGUACAAAAAAAAAAAAAAAAGAAUGUGCUAUGCGGUUGGCCAGGUGGCAGUUGGCUGUAUCUAACAUCUUUAGCAGACAGAUUAGUUUCUGUUUUCCUUUUGUUACAUGCUAUGUAAAAGUCAUAUGGUUUUUAUAAAGUGAAUACCUGUUUCUCCAUGGCUAGAAAUACAAAAUGUGAUCUGCAGUUUGCUUCUCUAAAUUUUACUAGCUUACCAAUUGAAAUUGUGGAUGAAGGUUUUGGUUUGCUCAUAAGAUCUAGGAGGGGGUCAAUUGAUAAAGGGAGCAACUUAGGACAUACGAAAGACCAUAUUCCUUAUUGAGUUGGUCCAGAUCUGCAAUAAAAAUAACUACCCUGUAUCUGUAGGGGUGAUUUUAGUAUUGUUAGAAGUGAAGAUGAACAAAGCACAUAAGUUUGUUCAGAUAGACUUCUAUUUUUAAAUUCUAUUAUAUAGCAUAGGAUUCUUUAUGGAUUGGCUUUUAAGUAGGAGAACUUUGUCCGAUCAUUUAACAUUAGGAUCCUUGUAUGUAACCUGGAGAGGAUUUUGGUGAGUCCAGUCUGGAAAUGUCAGUUUUUUUUUGUAGUAGUUAGAUCUUUGGAAAUAACCCUCUUGGAUCAUGCUUCUUUGCAAAUUGACACGAGAACUCAACUACACUUGAAUCCAUGUUUAAAUAUGAAAAUUGUGUUUUGAGAAAGUUAUGUAUUUGAUUUCAGACUGGAAUAUAGAGGCCCAUGUUGAGAAAUGGUUAACACAAUUCUCGAAGAAGAGAGAAAGUAAAGGAACGAAAUGAUCCAAGUGAAGGUUUCAUUGAGGCCAAUAAUAACAUUAUUUACAAAUAGAAAUAAAUGUUCGGAAGGGAAAUAGUUUUGCGGUGGUCGGGGUGGCAGCUGUAUUGCUGUGAUGUGUCUUUUUGAAAAUGCAGCCUAGCCUGUAGUGCUAAAAAAAAGCUCCUGUUUUUUUUCUCAGUAAAGAACCGUCUGAUCUCACCUCAGUAAUUUUUCACAUUUGCCAUUGAUUGAUUUUUGGCAAUUAUGCAGAAUGAUGUGUCAAGGCGCUGGCACUAGCAGGAUGCUGCUGGUGACUUUAGAGGUUUUCAAUGGUGUAACUGGUAGUGGUACACAUGGAUGUUGCCUCCUGGGUUGUGGUCAAAUCUAAUUGCUGUUGUUUCAUGAUGCAGUUUGCUGUGUCCAACAUCUUUAGCAAACUGAUCAGUUUCUGUUUUCCUUUUGUCGCAUUGCUGUGUAAAAAGUCAUAUGGUUUCUAUAAAGUGAAGACCUGUUUGGUUCACUAAAUUUUACUACUAGUGUAUCCGUUAUUGUUGUGGGAUAAGAUGAUCGUGUUUGAUUCA